AAUGAACUUAUUUGCAGAACAGAAGCAGACUCACAGGCUUUGAAGGCAAACUUAUGGUUACUAAAGGGUUACUCUAUCCAUCACAGAGAGAACAAAACUGAGACUCAGGACAUGAAGUACUAGCUGGUGGGCAGAGCUGGGAAUCAGAGGGUUCCCUAGAGCUAGGUACUGGCAUUUAUCUCAGGGGUGAGCCAGCAACUGGCUCCAGGGAGGCAUCCGGCAGAACACCUGGUCCAGGCUGUCCUUAUUUAACACCUAUUCUUAAUAACUUGGAAGCAAGCAAGCUCUGUGGGUGCUGCAAAGACUGGAGGCGGAAACCAGAGCAGACGUCCAAAGGAGCUGGUGCAGGCACGAGGGAAGAACUGAGAUCGUGUGGGGAAGUACAAACCAAACUAGCCACAGGGAGCUGAUCCACAGCAAAGGCAGAGCGGUCAGGAGAGAAAGGACAGCUGACAGAUUGAAAAGGGACGGAUGGACUCUGUAACGUGAUGAGGCAGCCUCGAGACCAAGGCUAUUCUGGGCUGCACUCACUAGAGCUGUGAAGUAGAGGCAGGGCCUGCUCCCUGCUUCAUGUUUCCAGAGACAUACACACUCUUCGAUAUUGAUUCCAUGACACAUGCACAUGCACACACACUUAGUUACUGAGCCCAUCUCUCUCUCUCACAGACACACACUCUCACACACACACACACACACACACACUCUUUGAUAUUGAUCCCAUGACACAUAUGCACAUGCACACACAAUUCUAUACUGAGCCCAUAUCUCUCUCUCUCUCUCACACACACACACACAUACACACAUUAAUGCUAACCCCCAUAAAACACAUACAAACACACAAAACUUUGAUAUUGACUCCCCCUCACACACACACAAACACUUUGAUACUGACCCCAUUGCUCUCUCUCCCUUACACACACACACACACACACACACACACACACACUUUAAUGCUGACCCAAUAAAAUACACGCAGUUUGAUACUGACCCCCAAACACACAUGCAUAUAUUUUGGUACUUACCCCUUGACAAAUAUGCACCUACAUAUAUACACACACACUUUGAUUCUGACCCCAUGACACACACACACUUUGAUGCUAACUCCAUCACACACACACACACUUUGACAGUGACCUCCAUGAAACACACACGUUUUGACAUUGACUCUCAUGACACUCACAAUAUACAUACACACACACACAUUUUGAUAUGGACUACCACCACACCCCAUGAAUCUUUUUAACUUUCUUCCUUUCUAGGUUUUACCGGUGCAUUUCCUACUGUCUUUAAAAGCAGUUGUGGGGCUAUUGCACUUGUAGAAUGUGCAUGUAGUUGGGAGUGGAUGGGGAGGCAGCAAGUAAGUAACUGAAUGAAGUAGCACUCAGCCACCCUGAUGAGUUAGUCCUAAGUUCCAGAAGACCUGUCUUUAGUUGGAAGCUCUGAUCCUUCAUCCAGAGGCAAUGCAGCCUAGCGGUAAAAAGCAGGAGCCUCCUAAAUAGACAUUUCUCCAAAGACAUACAGGUGGCCAGCAGGCACAUGAAAAAAUGCUCAAUAUCACUAAUUAUUGGAGGAAUGCAUAUAAAAACUAUAGUGAGGUACCACCUCACACCAGUCAGAAUGGCCAACAUUAAUAAGUCCACAAAUUACAAAUGCUGGAGAGGGUGUGGAGAAAAGGGAACACUCCUACACUGUUGCUGGGAAUUUAAACUGGUACAACCAUUAUGGAAAACAAUACAGAAGUUCCUCAGAAAAUUAAAUAUAGAAUUAGAUGUAUCAGGAUAAAACUUUCAUUCAAAAAGAUACAUGCACCCCUAUGUUCAUUGAACACUAUUCACAAUAGCCAAAACAUGGAAACAACCCAAAUGUCCAUUGACAGCUGAAUAGAUUAAGAUGACGUGGUACAGGGAGUUCCUGUCAUGGCUCAGUGGAAACAAAUUUGACUAGCAUCCAUGAGGACGUGGGUUUGAUCCCUGACCUUGCUCAGUGGGUUGGGGACCCAGUUUUGCUGUGAGCUGUGGUGUGGGUCACAGACAUGGCUCAGAUCCCAUGUUGCUGAGGCUGUAGUGUAGGCCAGCAGCUACAGUUCUGAUUCAAUCCCUAACAUGGGAACUUCCAUAUGCCUCAGGUGUGGCCCUUAAAAAAAAAAAAAGGAUGAUGUGGUACAUAAUUUAUUCAAUGGAAUUCUACCUGGCCAUACAAAAGGACAAAAUAAUGCUAUUUGCAGCAACACAGAUGGAACUAGAGAUUCUCAUACUAGGUGAAUAAGAAAAAGACAAAUACCGUACAAUAUCACUUAUACGCGGUAUCUAAAAUAUGACACAAAUGAUCCUAUCUACAAAACAGAAACAGAUCAUGGACAUGGAGAGCAGGCUUGUGUUUGCCAGGGGGAGAGGGAAGAGAAGCGUAUAUGGACGGGGAGUUUGGGGUCGGUAGAUGCAAACUAUUACACUGAGAGCGGAUAAGUAAUGGGGUCCUACUGUACGGCACAGGGAACUGUGUACAGUCUCUUGGGUUAGAACAUGACGGAAGAUAGUAUUAGGAAAAGAAUAUAUAUAUAUGUCUGCCUGGGUCCUUUUGCUGUACAACAGAAAUUGAAGGAACAUUAUAAAUCAACGAUGCUUUAAUAAAAAAUUAGAAAAAGGAGUUCCCAUAGUGGCGCACUGGUUAAAUGGGCUCAGGGAUAUACUGGGCUUUAGAGCCAGGCAUACCUCUGUGCAUCUCUGAGUCUGGCACCGUGGAGAGGGUCCUCACACGUGGGCACCUUGGGAGGCAAAGCUUUGCUGUGUUCUGCCAAUCCCAAACACUGUGACCUCCUGUGCCUCCUGAGGCCUAAAGGACAUACUCACAUGUGACAAAGCAUACGGAUCAACUCAUCAAGACUGUGGGUCUGCCUGUGACCAGGCGAGGGGAAGAGAGGUGAGAGUCUCUGAGAGUUUCAUGUUUCUCCCUCUUUAUUUGAGGGACUUAUGCAAUGCCUGCCAGAAGCAAAAAGAUGGUUCUGGACACUUUCAGCAGGCUGUUUCCCGGGAAGAGGGAAGGAACACCUGUGGCAUCCCAGCUGGAAGGGCCCUCUGGGGUUGUGCAGGCCACCUCUCAAAAGUUCAAGAGCCAGCAAUGCUUGUCUGCAGUCCCUCACUAAGGUAGGUGACAGGCAAACCCACCACCAUCCUCAGACCUGUCAGCCAGGGCUUUCCACUCCCAAGUCCUAGGGGAAUAGGGUGAAUCUUGGAAUGUAAGAGAGACAAGCCAUCAGGAGAAUCUUUCUUUUUCAAACCCAAGCAAGGAAAAUCAGAGAGAGAGAGAAAAUUCAUUAUGCCAUUAUUUUCCAUCUGCAGAACUGACUAAGCAAAAUUAUGGACAGGCAAAGACUGAUCUUUCUCCUGAUCUAGAGCCUGAAUUUGUUCCUGUAGUUUUUGAUUUAUUCAAUUAAUAAAAUGCUUACAUGCCAUUUUUCCUUUAUAAUUAGCAGAUAGAUUUCUCCAAGAAAUGUCCCAAUGCCUGCACUUUUGAACUGAUUAUGACUCUCUGUGGGUGAUUUUUGUGCAUUUUGGAAUGUGAAUCAUUUGACAGCCCUUUUAAAAGUGUUUACUGGAGUUCCCGCUGUGGCGCAAUGGGAUCUGUGGCAUCUCUGCAGCACCAGAACAUGGGUUUGAUCCCUGGCCCAGCACAGUAGGUUAAAGGAUCUGCAUUGCUGCAGGUGUGGCAUAGGUCACAACUACCACUAGGAUCUGAUGCCUGGCCAGGGGAACUCCAUGUGCAGCAGGGCAGCCGAAAAGAGAAAACAGUUGUUUAUUGCUAAGGAUUGUAAUGUUCUCUCUCAGUAGAGAAGGAGGGUAUGGUCUCUCCUUCCCUUACCCUUUUCAUCUUUCUAGCAGGGAUGCUUGAGAAGCUGACCUGGCAAAUCCUUCUUUGAGAACAUUUCUUCACUUAGUUUUAUAUGAAAGAGAGGCUAAAACGUUUUGCCAGCUUCCAAGAAGACCAGUGGGGAAGACAGAGUUACUGCCACUCAGAAGCUGGUUAAGUGGUGUCCAGGCGCCUUUCACAUCAAAUAAGCAAGCCACGGUUCUCUCUGGCAUAGCACGUGCUCUAUGAGCUGUGCAAUCUCAGUAAGCCACAUAAACUCUCUGGAUAUCACCUUCCUUAUUUAACCAAUGGGAAUAUUCAUAGCUUUGUAUGGUUGUGGUGGGGGUGAAAUGGCAUAACGUGUGACAAAGGGCUUUGGAGAGGCAACAAACCAUACAGAUGCAAGGGAUAAAUUUUUUUUUCUCUUUAGGGCCGCACCCUCGGCAUAUGGCAGUCCCCAGGCUAGGGGUCGAAACAGAGCUACAGCUGCCAGCCUAUGCCACAGCCACAGCAAUGCAGGAUCCCAGCCGUAGCUGAGACCUACACCACAGCUAACAACAAUGCCGGAUCCUUAACCCACUGAACAAGGCCAGGAAUGGAACCUGCAUCCUCAUGGAUCCUAGUCGGGUUCGUAAACCACUGAGCUACAAAGGGAACUCCGAAAGGGGUAAUUUUUAUUCUGUUACAUCUGUCUAUCCUCAACUGGGAUCGGUCUGGAGAAUUUUAUUUCCCCAGAUGAAAACUUCUUUGCUUCCAAGUUAAAAUGGUUACAUUUCAUCAAGGACUGUGGGAUAAAGGCAUGGGUCUUCCACUCUCACUGACAAUGGAACUGUAUCUCUUGGAGACAAGACUGGAUGUUAUAUGUGUACCACUGGUACUAAAAACUUUUCUAGACAUUAGGUCCUUGGACUUAAAAAUCACUGCCUUAAAAAUGCUUUUCCUCUGCACUUUUGCAGAGCUGUUCUGCACCCACAGAGAGCUGGCCAGCAUGGAGCUCAGACACAGGAGUUCCAUGGAAUUUCAGACACAAGAUUUGCUUGUUGUCAGAGAAUAUUUCAUGAAAGUUGCAGGGACUUGAGGGGAUGGAGUCGAGAGGACUUCACGAUACUGACCAGUUUAUUCAGAGAAUCACAAACACUAAAUUUGGAAAGUUAUCUGGGCCAAACUCUUCAUUUUAAGAUGAGAAACUAUGGCUUAAAAUAGGUUAUCGUCUAUGCAGUUACUUUGGGAAAACAUACGUUUUUUUUUUUUUUUUCUGAUUUCCAGGCCAAUGUUCUUUCCAUUACAUCAUUAAUAAUAUAAACGGCAUCAACAAUGACCACAACAGGUACUGUUUAUUGCGUAGUGAGUAUGUGUUAGACAUUGUGCCAAGCUAUUGACAUCCAUUCGCCCACUUAACUCCUGCAGCAAACCAGUGAGACAGAUACCAUUCCCAUUUUGCAGAUGAGGAAAAUGAAGCUCAGAAACAUUCAUUAUUUUCCCAAAGUCGGAGUACUGAUAUUUAUAUCCAUCCACAGUAUCGAGAGCCAGUAGGGAUGUAUGUGUCAGGGGUUGGUGCUAUGGUUUACAUACAGCAGUGUCUACAUUUUCUUACAUUUAGAGAUGAAAAUGACUCCUUACCCCCCACAUAUCAGGGGCCCUCUGAAUUGAAAAGUCAUGCAAAACUUACCCUGAAGCGCAGCCUGAUUUCAUAUUGAUGAGAACUAACUGGAAAUGAGGGUGUGGAGUUUCCCCAUUCUUCCGCAUGGCAGGCUUUUAGAAUACAGACACGAGAUGAGUCAGAAGAGAAAUGUGCAGGCUCCAGGCCACAAUGGAAAUACUCAUUUCCCCAAUUGCUCAGCAGCAAAACAUUGAGGCCAACUCUUUUGUGUACGAAGGAUGUUAAAAAGCAUUUUUCAGUCUUAGCAUUGCUUUUAAAAUCAUUAAACCAACUUCUGUUGCACCUGCUGUGGUUUCAUGCUAAGAUCCUACACUCAGGCUUUUUCUCCUCUUGCUUUAUGGGAAGUAUGGUGGAAAAUCACCAGGCCAGCAAACCUCAGUUGCCACUAUAAAUUUUCCUACUCCUUAAACUUGCCUUCAUAUUUUUCCAAUUUUUGUUAAAAAGCAUGAUUCCCCUAUAACAUCUUGCCUCACU
rnacentral:lncRNA from 1 species